GUCAUAGCUCAGCAGCAGAGUGUCUGCCUUGCAAGCAGAAGUUCCUGGGUUCAAUCCCCGGUAUCUCCG
rnacentral:tRNA from 1 species